rnacentral:rRNA from 1 species
CGCAAGCGUGCUUAAUGCGAAUUGGAAAGCCCUUCGGGGUACUCGAGCGGCACGGGUGAGUAACACGUGAGUAACCUGCCCCUGACUCUGGGAUAAGCCCGGGAAACUGUCUAAUACCGGAUACGACCACUUCUCGCAUGGGAUGGUGGUGGAAAGUUUUUUCGGUUGGGGAUGGACUCAGCUUGUUGGUGGGGUAACGGCCUACCAAGGCGACGACCCGGCCUGAGAGGGCGACCGGCCACACUGGGACUGAGACACGGCCCAGACUCCUACGGGAGGCAGCAGUGGGGAAUAUUGCGCAAUGGGCGAAAGCCUGACGCAGCGACGCCGCGUGGGGACGGCCUUCGGGUUGUAAACCUCUUUCAGCAGGGACGAAGUUGACGUGUACCUGCAAAGCGCCGGCUAACUACGUGCCAGCAGCCGCGGUAAUACGUAGGGCGCAAGCGUUGUCCGGAAUUAUUGGGCGUAAAGAGCUCGUAGGUGGCUUGUCACGUCGGGUGUGAAAGCUUGCUUAACUCCAGGUCUGCAUUCGAUACGGGCUGGCUAGAGGUAGGUAGGGGAGAACGGAAUGGUGUAGCGGUGAAAUGCGCAGAUAUCAGGAGGAACACCGGUGGCGAAGGCGGUUUGGGCCUUACCUGACGCUGAGGAGCGAAAGCGUGGGGAGCGAACAGGAUUAGAUACCCUGGACGCUGUAAACGUUGGGCGCUAGGUGUGGGGACCUUCCACGGUUUCCGCGCCGUAGCUAACGCAUUAAGCGCCCCGCCUGGGGAGUACGGCCGCAAGGCUAAAACUCAAAAUUGACGGGGGCCCGCACAAGCGGCGGAGCAUGUUGCUUAAUUCGACGCAACGCGAAGAACAGGCUUGACAUCGCCCGGAAACACUCAGAGAUGGGUGCCUCUUCGGAUCGGGUGACAGGUGGUGCAUGGCUGUCGUCAGCUCGUGUCGUGAGAUGUUGGGUUAAACCCUUGUUCAAUGUUGCCAGCACGCUCCUUCGGGGGUGGUGGGCAUUGGAGACUGCCGGGGUAACUCGGAGGAAGGUGGGGAUGACGUCAAGUCAUCAUGCCCCUUAUGUCUUGGGCUGCAAACAUGCUACAAUGGCCGGUACAGAGGGUUGCGAUACCGUGAGGUGGAGCGAAUCCCAAAAAGCCGGUCUCAGUUCGGAUUGGGGUCUGCAACUCGACCCCAUGAAGCUAGUAAUCGCAGAUCAGCAACGCUGCGGUGAAUACGUUCCCGGGCCUUGUACACACCGCCCGUCACGUCACGAAAGUCGGCAACACCCGAAGCCCGUGGUGUCUGGGGGGAGCGGUCGAAGGUGGGGCUGGCGAUUGGGACGAAGUCGUAA